rnacentral:rRNA from 1 species
ACGGAAGGCAGCAGUGAGGAAUAUUGGUCAAUGGGCGGAAGCCUGAACCAGCCAAGUCGCGUGAAGGAUGAAGGUAUUAUGUAUUGUAAACUUCUUUAGACGUAGAGAAAUAAGGGGAUCGUGAUCCCUGAUGCUAGUAUACGUAGAAUAAGGAUCGGCUAACUCCGUGCCAGCAGCCGCGGUAAUACGGAGGAUCCGAGCGUUAUCCGGAUUUAUUGGGUUUAAAGGGUGCGCAGGCGGCUUUUUAAGUCAGUGGUUAAAUCGUGGAGCUUAACUCCAUCCCGCCAUUGAUACUGGAGAGCUUGAUUGCGGUUGAGGUUGGCGGAAUUCGCCGUGCAGCGGUGAAAUGCAUAGAUAUGGCGAAGAACUCCGAUUGCGUAGGCAGCUUACCAGACCGACAAUGACGCUCAUGCACGAAAGUGCGGGGAUCGAACAGGAUUAGAUACCCUGGUA